GAUCAUUACUGAUUUGCUUAAUUGCACCACAUGUGUUUUUUAUUGAACAAAUUUCUUUGGUGGCGGGAGCAAUCCUACCGCCAGAGGUUAUAACUAAACCAAACUUUAUUUACAGUCAAACUUGAUUUAUUAUUACAAUAGUCAAAACUUUCAACAACGGAUCUCUUGGUUCUCGCAUCGAUGAAGAACGCAGCGAAAUGCGAUACGUAAUAUGAAUUGCAGAUAUUCGUGAAUCAUCGAAUCUUUGAACGCACAUUGCGCCCUUUGGUAUUCCAAAGGGCAUGCCUGUUUGAGCGUCAUUUCUCCCUCAAACCCCCGGGUUUGGUGUUGAGCAAUACGCUAGGUUUGUUUGAAAGAAUUUAACGUGGAAACUUAUUUUAAGCGACUUAGGUUUAUCCAAAAACGCUUAUUUUGCUAGUGGCCACCACAAUUAUUCAUAACUUGACCUCA
rnacentral:misc_RNA from 1 species